GCAGUCGAACGCGUUGGCCCAAUUGAUUGAUGGUGCUUGCACCUGAUUGAUUUUGGUCGCCAACGAGUGGCGGACGGGUGAGUAACACGUAGGUAACCUGCCCAGAAGCGGGGGACAACAUUUGGAAACAGAUGCUAAUACCGCAUAACAGCGUUGUUCGCAUGAACAACGCUUAAAAGAUGGCUUCUCGCUAUCACUUCUGGAUGGACCUGCGGUGCAUUAGCUUGUUGGUGGGGUAACGGCCUACCAAGGCGAUGAUGCAUAGCCGAGUUGAGAGACUGAUCGGCCACAAUGGGACUGAGACACGGCCCAUACUCCUACGGGAGGCAGCAGUAGGGAAUCUUCCACAAUGGGCGCAAGCCUGAUGGAGCAACACCGCGUGAGUGAAGAAGGGUUUCGGCUCGUAAAGCUCUGUUGUUAAAGAAGAACACGUAUGAGAGUAACUGUUCAUACGUUGACGGUAUUUAACCAGAAAGUCACGGCUAACUACGUGCCAGCAGCCGCGGUAAUACGUAGGUGGCAAGCGUUAUCCGGAUUUAUUGGGCGUAAAGAGAGUGCAGGCGGUUUUCUAAGUCUGAUGUGAAAGCCUUCGGCUUAACCGGAGAAGUGCAUCGGAAACUGGAUAACUUGAGUGCAGAAGAGGGUAGUGGAACUCCAUGUGUAGCGGUGGAAUGCGUAGAUAUAUGGAAGAACACCAGUGGCGAAGGCGGCUACCUGGUCUGCAACUGACGCUGAGACUCGAAAGCAUGGGUAGCGAACAGGAUUAGAUACCCUGGUAGUCCAUGCCGUAAACGAUGAGUGCUAGGUGUUGGAGGGUUUCCGCCCUUCAGUGCCGGAGCUAACGCAUUAAGCACUCCGCCUGGGGAGUACGACCGCAAGGUUGAAACUCAAAGGAAUUGACGGGGGCCCGCACAAGCGGUGGAGCAUGUGGUUUAAUUCGAAGCUACGCGAAGAACCUUACCAGGUCUUGACAUCUUGCGCCAACCCUAGAGAUAGGGCGUUUCCUUCGGGAACGCAAUGACAGGUGGUGCAUGGUCGUCGUCAGCUCGUGUCGUGAGAUGUUGGGUUAAGUCCCGCAACGAGCGCAACCCUUGUUACUAGUUGCCAGCAUUAAGUUGGGCACUCUAGUGAGACUGCCGGUGACAAACCGGAGGAAGGUGGGGACGACGUCAGAUCAUCAUGCCCCUUAUGACCUGGGCUACACACGUGCUACAAUGGACGGUACAACGAGUCGCGAACUCGCGAGGGCAAGCAAAUCUCUUAAAACCGUUCUCAGUUCGGACUGCAGGCUGCAACUCGCCUGCACGAAGUCGGAAUCGCUAGUAAUCGCGGAUCAGCAUGCCGCGGUGAAUACGUUCCCGGGCCUUGUACACACCGCCCGUCACACCAUGAGAGUUUGUAACACCCAAAGUCGGUGGGGUAACCU
rnacentral:rRNA from 2 species